GAGCGCGAGGAGAAGAGCUUGCUCUUCGAUUCAUCGGCUGACGGGUGACUAAUGCCUAGGAAUCUGCCUGGUGGUGGGGGAGAACGUUUCUAAAGGAACGCUAAUACCGCAUACGUCCUACGGGAGAAAGCAGGGGACCUUCGGGCCUUGCGCUAUCAGAUGAGCCUAGGUCGGAUUAGCUAGUUGGUGAGGUAAUGGCUCACCAAGGCGACGAUCCGUAACUGGUCUGAGAGGAUGAUCAGUCACACUGGAACUGAGACACGGUCCAGACUCCUACGGGAGGCAGCAGUGGGGAAUAUUGGACAAUGGGCGAAAGCCUGAUCCAGCCAUGCCGCGUGUGUGAAGAAGGUCUUCGGAUUGUAAAGCACUUUAAGUUGGGAGGAAGGGCAGUAAGCUAAUACCUUGCUGUUUUGACGUUACCAACAGAAUAAGCACCGGCUAACUCUGUGCCAGCAGCCGCGGUAAUACAGAGGGUGCAAGCGUUAAUCGGAAUUACUGGGCGUAAAGCGCGCGUAGGUGGUUCGUUAAGUUGGAUGUGAAAUCCCCGGGCUCAACCUGGGAACUGCAUCCAAAACUGGCGAGCUAGAGUAGGGCAGAGGGUGGUGGAAUUUCCUGUGUAGCGGUGAAAUGCGUAGAUAUAGGAAGGAACACCAGUGGCGAAGGCGACCACCUGGGCUCAUACUGACACUGAGGUGCGAAAGCGUGGGGAGCAAACAGGAUUAGAUACCCUGGUAGUCCACGCCGUAAACGAUGUCAACUAGCCGUUGGAAUCCUUGAGAUUUUAGUGGCGCAGCUAACGCAUUAAGUUGACCGCCUGGGGAGUACGGCCGCAAGGUUAAAACUCAAAUGAAUUGACGGGGGCCCGCACAAGCGGUGGAGCAUGUGGUUUAAUUC
rnacentral:rRNA from 1 species